CACAGAAUCACAGAAUCACAGAAUGGCCUGGGUUGGAAGGGACCUCAAGGAUCAUGAAUCUCCAACCCCCCUUCCGGGCAGGGCCACCAACCUCCACAUUUACUAGACCAGGCUGCCCAGGGCCCCAUCCAACCUGGCCUUGAACACCUCCAGGGAUGGGGCAUCCACAAGCUCUCUGGGCGGCCCAUUCCAGCACCUCACCACUCUCCUGCUUUUCAACAGAGCUCUGCUUACUCCAUCAGAGCUACAUGGUUUAACAGCAGUUCACCAUUCAGAUCAAUCUGUGUGAAGAUUGAAACUGGACUUGACAUAUUUUAUAAUUUGUCUCCCAUCUCUUGUCUACCCUGGAACUGUUCUAAACACCAAGCCCUGGCUCCUGGCAAGCUGAUCUUAUCUUAUGGGAAGUAUUCUGAUUGCUGUUUUUCUGAACCACUCAACUGCCUUCUCAGCUGUGCUUUUGGCUCCUGGACAUGCCCCAUUAUUCUCUCAGAAUAUUUUUCAUUGACCUUGGUGAUCUCAAUGAAUCUGUAAGAUGCAACUCAACCGCCAUUCUUCAAGGAAGUUUUGGACCGAUUGGCUCCAGUUCCAUGGAUUAUGUAACAAUCUCUGGG
ensembl:lncRNA